ACAGGAGGAUUUUUGCAGAGCUUCCAUCCAGUUCAGAAACAAAGCAAUUCAAUACAUGUCUUCAAGAUUUCUAAAGGCAAUGACUUAAUUCUAAGUUCCAUGAAAGCAGGCAUUGUGUGAAUUUCUCCUGCAUCUGGAACUGGCCUAGCACACCAAGGCCUUCACUAGAUACUGGCCUUUUGACUUUGGACUUUCCAGCCUACAGACUGAGGUCUUCGAUUAUGACAUGUGUGAAAUGAGAAGCUCAUUUUGAAUGACACAUUGGUAUAUAUAAAUGAUGUGUGGAAAAUGUAGUAGAAGAAACAAUGGAACAAAGUUAUGGACAGUAGAAACAAUGGGACAAUUUAUUGAAUGUGCAGAUUUACCGUCCAAGCACCGUGGAAUCCUCUUCCUUCAAACCUAGGGAAAGACAUACAGCAGAGAAGCCUUGUUUUCGUCAUUAAAAUUUUGCCCUGAAGGUAGUCUGCAUCACUUUUGUUCACAUUUUUCUCCCGAGAAUCAAUAUAUGGUUAUUCUUCAAUGCAAGGAGGGUUACAAAAUAUAGCCCGUGUCUCACCAAUGGCCUAGAGCCAUUCCAGAAAGAAAAACAUUUUGUGGACAACUAGUAGAGCCUGCCAUAGAAGGCAUUCAAUGUAUUUUCAUAAUCCACUUUUCCCUUCUCCUGAUUAGAGUACUCUCUUUCAAAUCUUAGCAGAGGAAUGAGAAGAAACGUGAAAAGAACUCUAACAGGUAGAAUCGCUUCAUUCUCAGAUAUCAUAUUCUGAAUGGCAUAUAUCAGAUCUUGGUACCUGGUACCUGGUUAUAUAUUAAUAUUUCAUAAAUGUUUGAAAAAUACUGUGGACCAGAAGUACUUAGGGAUAAUGCAAAUCAUAACCUUUCUCUUUGAAAAUGUUUCUAACAUAUCAUCUAUUUCCUUGUUACAACAAAAGAAUUUCUUGAUUUGUCAUAAUUUCACAAAUCAUUCCACAUUUCUCAUCCUUAUACUUUUUUGUAAAGUUUGCUUCUCAUCCAUGUGCUCUUGGAAGUAAAUUGACAAAUAAUGUUUCAAUCUUGUAUGAAUAAACUCAGAGGCAUUGUAUAUGACUAUUUUCAGAUGUUUCUAAGCCAAAGCUGUGUUGCUGCUUUGAUUUUCUUUUUUUUUUUCUUUUGGUAUGUCACAAGAACAUAAUACGCUUCAAAGAUUUUAUCACAUUUCUUGUGGAUUACUGCAUACAAAUAAAACAGCCUUUAGCCUUCAGCUUUGUGCUGUUUUCAAGGAAAUAAAAUACGCUUUGUUAUUCCCUGGAA
rnacentral:lncRNA from 1 species